AGAUAUGUGCCUGAAAGCCUAAGGAUCACUUUGAUAGAGUGAAUUAUAAGAGUUCAAACCUCUUCAUAUCUC
rnacentral:tRNA from 1 species